AGAAAUGGAAAAUCCUGAUGUGGCUGUAAGCAGCUGCACUGCUCAUGAUGAUGAAAAUCUUUGCAUCUACAAACGGCACCUGUCAGUAUCACAGGAUGGGCUUUUGGAAGACCAGCUUAGAAGGAAGUUAAAAUUCUUCUUCAUGAACCCAUGUGAGAAAUUCUGGGCCCGGGGCAGGAAACCUUGGAAACUUGGGAUUCAACUACUCAAAAUAGCAAUGGUUACUAUUCAGCUGGUGGUUUUUGGAUUGAGCAAUCAGAUGGUGGUUGCCUUCAAAGAAGAGAACACUGUUGCAUUCAAACAUCUCUUCUUGAAAGGAUACAUGGACAGAAUGGAUGAUACCUAUGCUGUAUACACACAAACAGAUGUCUAUGACCAGAUAUUCUUUGCAAUAAACCAGUACUUACAGCUGCCCAACAUUUCUGUUGGAAACCAUGCUUAUGAGAGGAGGGGAGCAGAGGAGACAGCUCUGGCUGUGUGUCAGCAGUUCUACAAGCGGGGAACCAUCUGUCCUGGAAAUGACACCUUUGAUAUAGACCCAGAGAUUGUGACUGACUGCUUGUACAUUGAGCCAAUGACGCCGUUAGACAACACAACUGCGGGAAAGCACAAUCUGAAUUUCACUCUGGAUUUCCACAGACUGGUGACCGUGCAGCUCAUGUUCAAUCUGAAGGCAAUCAACCUCCAGACUGUUCGUCACCACGAGCUCCCUGACUGUUACGAUUUCACUUUGACGAUAGUGUUUGAUAAUAAAGCACAUAGUGGAAGAAUUAAAAUAAGUCUAGACAAUGAUAUAUCGAUCAGAGAAUGUAAAGACUGGCACGUUUCUGGAUCAAUACAGAAGAACACUCACUACAUGAUGAUCUUUGAUGCUUUUGUUAUAUUGACUUGUCUGGCCUCACUGAUCCUUUGCACACGAUCAGUCGUUAAAGGAAUUCGGCUCCAAAGGGAAUUUGUAAGCUUUUUCUUAUAUUAUUAUAAGAAAGAAGUAUCUUUCAGUGAUCAGAUGGAAUUUGUCAAUGGAUGGUACAUCCUUAUUAUGGUUAGCGAUGUCUUAACUAUUGUUGGAUCAACUCUAAAGAUGGAGAUACAAGCCAAAAGCCUGAGCAGCUAUGAUGUCUGUAGCAUACUCCUGGGAACAUCCACUAUGCUUGUGUGGCUUGGAGUCAUUCGCUACCUAGGUUUCUUUCAGAAGUAUAAUGUAAGAAUCUCCCGGGAUCUUCGUGCUGUUGCUUCUCAUCCUCACACUGCGAGCAGCAUUACCCAGCGUAAUGAGGUUCUGCUGUUGUGCUGCUAUGAUCUACCUGGGCUAUUGUUUCUGUGGAUGGAUUGUACUGGGACCAUACCAUGUGAAGUUUCGCUCUCUGAACAUGGUUUCCGAAUGCCUUUUUUCAUUGAUCAAUGGAGAUGACAUGUUUGCCACCUUUGCAAAAAUGCAACAGAAAAGUUACUUGGUUUGGUUAUUCAGUAGGAUCUACCUCUACUCCUUCAUCAGUCUGUUCAUCUAUAUGGUACUGAGUCUCUUCAUUGCACUUAUUACAGAUACGUAUGAAACUGUCAAGCACUACCAGCAAGAUGGAUUUCCAGAGACAGAACUUCAGAGAUUUAUAUCACAGUGCAAAGACUUACCAAACUCUGGCAUGUACAGGUUAGAGGAGGAGAGUUCUGCAUCUCUCUUCUGUUGUUGUAAUGGUUGUAGUGAACAUAUUUAAUGGAUUGUGGGAGUGUAUCAUGGAGGUUUUAAAGCAACACACAUUGCAAGAACUGGACAGUGGAGCUGGUGGAAAACCUUACACCUAAAGCCUGAAUUUGCUUUUCUCAAAAACCAGUGUAAGCCUGUGGCAGAAGCUUACGAUAAACUUACAGUCUUUCUGCUUAGGCACUGUCAUUGCUAGUUCAGGGGUUUGGGGGGUAUGUUUUUUUAUUAGCUUUGUUCUAUUUGUUUCCUCAGUUAAAUUGUGCUAGAAUGCAAAGGGCAUUAAAAAGCUGUCAUCUGUGUUCAAAGACUUGGCUAGAUUAUGCGAGUAGACUAGAAUGCAGUAACUUUCAACUGUAAGUAGAAAUAGUGCUGGACAACUGCAACGUUGAACACCAACCUAGCCCUCAGCAUUAGAGGCAUUAUUUAGCUAUGGCUGACCUGUCACUGAAUGAAUGAAAGCUCGCUCUAGAGCCCUCGGCAUGUUUUGUUUAUCUGCACUCACAGUAAAAAUAAAGCUAUGAAAUUUGGUGUAAUACGUUUCUGGAGGCAUUACAGUGAAUUGAUGCACAAGCCGUUCAAAUACGGCUGAGAGCAUAAACUAAAUAUUUCUAUAAAGAUAAGUACCACUUGAUGUAAGUGUCAGUCUCUCCUCAGAGAGGCCAGGGACAUGCCAGGCCAGAACUGAAUUUUGAGGGGUGAGUUGAGUAGAGAAAUGGAUGUUCUCCUAUAUCCAGCACUGAGUAGGAUCAGUUACAGUCUUCAGCUCUGCAGUGUGCUGACCUUGUGUUUUUAAGGGAAAAGUCUUUCAGAAGCACUUUCAAAAUACCUAUUUUUUUAUUUGAAGUCUUUCUCUGAAGUCUGAACUGAGUCAAACACAUAGACUCUCAGAGACAUAUCUCUCCAUGCUUUACAAACUCAGUGUUUCUUACCAACCUAAUAACCUGGUACUGUCAGUGGCUGUCUGAAACGUUAGAUCUUACAGAAGUUUGGUUUUGACAACUUAUAUACUUUGUUGCCUGUGAUACCAUUUAAGGGAUGCCUUAUUUUCUCUAGUCUAUUCACUCUGGGAGCAGAAUAGAAGACCAAAGGGAAGUAUAUUUUAGAUAACUUGCAUUUGUGAGCAACGUUCCGGUAGCUGUGUGUGACAAUAUAAUGCUGUGCACAAAGAUGGAGGACACUAAACAUGUUCUGUCUGAAUGUUUACACAUUGUAAAUGCUCUACAAUAAACGCUUCCAGCUGCAGUAA